rnacentral:rRNA from 1 species
GUGGGGAAUCUUGCGCAAUGGGCGAAAGCCUGACGCAGCCAUGCCGCGUGAAUGAUGAAGGUCUUAGGAUUGUAAAAUUCUUUCACCGGGGACGAUAAUGACGGUACCCGGAGAAGAAGCUCCGGCUAACUUCGUGCCAGCAGCCGCGGUAAUACGAAGGGGGCUAGCGUUGCUCGGAAUUACUGGGCGUAAAGGGCGCGUAGGCGGACAGCUUAGUCAGAGGUGAAAGCCCAGGGCUCAACCUUGGAAUUGCCUUUGAUACUGGCUGUCUUGAGUUUGGGAGAGGUGAGUGGAACUCCGAGUGUAGAGGUGAAAUUCGUAGAUAUUCGGAAGAACACCAGUGGCGAAGGCGACUCACUGGCCCAAUACUGACGCUGAGGCGCGAAAGCGUGGGGAGCAAACAGGAUUAGAUGCCCGAGUAGUCC